rnacentral:lncRNA from 1 species
ACAAAAGCAAAACUCCGUCUUAAAAAAUAAAUAAAUAAAUAACAUUAAACUACGUCACUCAGCCUGUGAACAAUGGCUCACGCUUAUAACCCAGCAAUUUGGGAGGCCGCAGCAGGUGGAUCACUUGAGGUCACGAGUUCGAGACCAGCCCGGCCAACAUGGUAAAACCGCAUUUCUACUAAAAAUACAAAAUUAGCUGGGUGUGGUGAUGGGCGCCUGUAAUCCCAGCUACUCAUGAGGCAGGAGAAUCGCUUGAACCCAGGAGGCGGAAGUUGCAGUGAGCUGAAAUUGUGUCACUGCACUCCAGCCUGGGUGACAGAGCAAGACUCCGUCCAAAAAAAAAAAAAAAAAAAAAGGGACCAUGUUCUAGUGUAGGGGUAAGUGGAUUGUUUUGGCCCCAACCCCAAGAGGAUCAAGGGAGACCACUGCAGCUGCCCGAGAAAUUCUUGCCCUCUGACAAGAAACACCCUAUCCAGUCUGGGGAAUUUGCCAGUCCAACCCCUCCCCUUGGCUCAAGAUUCUGGGAAAUCCUAAAUAGUGUUUACCAUUGGCCUUUUAUCAGCUCCAGUAUAAAUGCGUCUGGCCAGACUUGCUUUACAACUAUGCAUAAUGGAUAGUUGGGCCAGGCUUGGUGGCUCAUGCCUAGUGCUUUGGGAGGCCGAGGUGGGAGGAUCACUUCAGCCCAAGAGUUGGAGGCCAGCCUAGGCAACAUGGUGAGACACCAUCUCUACAAAAAAAAAUUUUAUUUUCUGUUUUUUUUUUGAGACGGAGUGUGGCGCUGUCACCCAGGCUGGAGCAACAGAGCCAGACUUUGUCUCAAAUAAAUAAAUAAAUAAAUAAAACCUGCAAAAAAAUUUUUUUAAAUGCCAUUUUUCUUUCUUUCUUUCUUUCUUUUU